GCGGUUAAAAUAAAUCCUUCGACUUCAGGAGCAGUGUCUGAAGAGGUUGAACGUUGGAUAAAAAGAUACUUUCAACUUUCCGGUGAUCGAAAUGGCGGCCGUAAAGCUCGGGAAGAUCUUAAAAAUUCGUUGCAAAAAUAAAUAUUUGAUUCAUUCAACGUUUUUGUUUUUAUUAUUUCAUUAUUAAUUAAAACACUUUUGGUUUACAAUAAAUUUCAAAUAUACUUAUUUGUUUGAAUUUUAUGGAAUAACACAUUUUCACGGAAACGGCUAAUAAUAACGUGCUAGUGUAUGUAGUAAAAGUAUCUAGUAAAAAGUAACGCUUUAGAGCUGACACGCAAACACGAAAGAUUGUUGGAAAAUGAUCACGGAUCAGUACUGUCAACAGAUGCUGGCAAGCGAUCGCGGGCCAGUGCUGGCAAAUAAUCGCAGGCCAGUGCUGGCGAACCAUUGCGGGCCAAUACUGGCCCAUGGCUAGCGGGCCAGUGCUGGCCCAAUGGCCGUUUUGAUGCAGGCCCGUGAUCGACGGCCGUCAUCGCGCCGUAGUCGCAAGCGGAACUGGGCCAGCAUUGGGCCGCUAGCGGCAGGCUGUCUGGGCUGUUUCAGUUUGGUCGAUAUUUUUUUUAAAACAAUUUAAGAAGUAUUUGUUUUAUUUUUUAGAGCAGUUAAGAGGAGCUGAUCGCUUUUAUUAAAGAAGUUAAAACUAAAUUGACUGAGCAGUUAAGAGGAACUGAUCGCUUUUUUAGUA